GGUCGUUUAGCUCAGUGGUAGAGCGUUCGGUUCACAUCCGAAAGGUCGGUGGUUCGAGUCCACCAACGACCACCA
rnacentral:tRNA from 1 species